UGUCUUUUCAACCUGAGCCAAGACCUCAAAAAGACAUCUUCUGGACGUAAUUUGUUCAGUGGGUACAGAUGCAGUGAAGUCAGUGUCAGUGAUGGAGGGAGAUUCUGUCACUCUAAACACUGAUCUUACUGAAAUACAGAGAGAUGAUCAGAUACUGUGGAUGUUUGGACCUCAAGAGACUCGUAUAGCUGAAAUAUAUAAGCAGAUCAAUGAUAUGUAUAACAGUAAUGAGAUAUUCGGAGACAGACUCCAGAUAGACAGUCAAACUGGAUCUCUGACCAUCAGAAACAUCAGAUCUGAACACUCUGGAUUUUAUAAACUACAGAUCCGCAGUGACAGAGGAACUUCAUACAAGAGAUUCAGUGUUACUGUGUAUGAUCUGGUCUCGAAGAAAAACUCGCAGAGUUGAAGUUUCAGGUCUCAGAAAACUCACAGAGUCAAAGUUCCAGGUCUCAGAAGUAUUUAACUUUAUUGUCAAGCAACAAAGUGAGAUGCCAGCUCCGCAUCUGAGGCUCCCUUAGCUGGGGCACAGUUUAUAGAUUUUUCUUAUCUCUUAAAAACACACCAAAUUAAUAUCAUUGGCUGGUAAUAUUCGCUCUUACAUUUUCCCAUAUUCUCACUUACACGUGCUCUCCCCUCACACCUCCUUCCCAUGUACUCCCCGACCUUUCUGCCAUAGACACUUCACUAAUAUAAUUGCAGGUGUUGCUUAUGUAAGAGAAUUUUCUUAGUAAGGGUGACCAGCUUCCAGCUACUGUACAUCUUUUGACUUCAUUUCUCAUGGCCUUCUGCCAAUUGAUGGUCAACUCUUUUCCCAUUGGCCAAAUGAAACAUUGUAUCAAAACAGUCAACACUCCCCGGAGGCAAGAGGCCUUCACGUGACACCCUUUACUGAUGGUCUUGUUCAUUUCACAGCCACCUGUUGUCUGGUGGAAAAUUACCAACAAAUUUUAUUCAAGUAAACUUGUUUGACCCUUACAGUUACAAAGGCCAAGAGGGCCUCACAACACUUCUAGCUUUUAUAGUAAGCAAACUAAUUCUACAAUUGUUUUCUAUAGGAUGGAUAAAAUACUCCAUCAUGUUCAGCUGUGAAUGUGGGUCAUGUGACUCUCUCCUGGUACAAAGGAAACAGUUUAUUGUCCAGCAUCAGUGUGUCUGAUCUCAGCAUCAGUCUCUCUCUACCUCUGGAGGUGGAAUAUCAGGAUAAAAACACCUACAGCUGUGUGAUCAACAAUCCCAUCAGAAACCAGACUCAACAUCUGGAUAUCUCUGAACUCUGUUGGUAUUGUUCAAGAAUGUAUACCCAGCUUUUAUAUUUCAUGCUCAUUAUAACAGUAGUUAGUGUGCUGCUGCUGCUGCUGCUCAUUUCUGCAUGUGUGUUUUACUGUUGCUGCCGGAAAUACAGCCAAGAAAAAACAGAGG